rnacentral:rRNA from 1 species
GAUGAACGCUGGCGGCGUGCUUAACACAUGCAAGUCGAACGAUGAAGCCCAGCUUGCUGGGUGGAUUAGUUGCGAACGGGUGAGUAACACGUGAGUAACCUGCCCUUCACUCUGGGAUAAGCCUGGGAAACUGGGUCUAAUACCGGCUAGGAGCGUCCACCGCCUGGAGGGUGUUGGAGAGAUUGACCGGCUUUGGGUGGCCUCGCGGCCUAUCCGCUCUUCGGUGACGUAUUGGCUCACCAAGGCAGCGACGGGUAGCCGGCCUGGGAGGGUGACCGGCCACACUGGGACUGAGACACGGCCCAGACUCCUACGGGAGGCAGCAGUGGGGAAUAUUGCGCAGUGGGCGCGAGCCUGAUGCAGCGACGCCGCGUGAGGGAUGACGGCCUUCGGGUUGUAAACCUAUUUCAGUAGGGAAGAAGCGAAAGUGACGGUACCUGCAGAAGAAGCACCGGCUAACUACGUG